GAUUUUCAUCUUUUUUUUUUCUACAAACUGCACCAAUUCCAUUUUCUUUCCCUUCUUCAGUAUCCUUAUUUUUUUCUUUCAAAAAAAAAAUGAAUCCUUCUACCAUAGUCAUGACAAAAGAGCUCUCCGCUGGAUCAUCACGAUCCGGCGGUGAACAGUUACAAAAUAAUAAUCCCGCACCGUUGAGUCGGUACGAGUCACAAAAAAGGCGAGACUGGAACACUUUUGGUCAGUACUUGAAAAAUCAAAGACCACCUGUUCCGUUAUCACAGUGUAAUUGCAAUCAUGUUCUAGAAUUCCUUCGAUACCUUGACCAGUUCGGUAAGACUAAGGUUCACUUACACGGAUGCGUGUUUUUCGGACAACCUGAUCCACCAGCACCUUGUACUUGCCCGUUAAGGCAAGCCUGGGGUAGCCUUGAUGCUUUAAUAGGGAGGCUUAGAGCUGCGUACGAAGAGAACGGAGGGUCCCCGGAGAAUAAUCCGUUUGGAAAUGGCGCGAUUCGCCUUUAUUUAAGAGAGGUAAAAGAGUGUCAAGCUAAGGCAAGAGGGAUUCCUUACAAGAAGAAAAAGAAAAGGAAGCUUAAUAAUAAUUCAAUUAAGCCCAUUGGCGCUGGUGUUGGUGCUAGUGCUGAUCAACACAAAAAUUUGAUGCAAGCAAGCUAAAUUAUAAGGAUAAAGGCCUCUCAGAGUGGAAUAUACGUAGUAUGUUGUUGUUAUAUAUAGGGUGGUCACAUGAAUUGGAUGUAUCUGAAGUAGAUAUAUAGAAGAUGAUGAUGCCUGCCACAAGACAAAUAUGUACCUCAAUAUACUAGCUAUCUAGCUAGUUAUGUUUUCUUAUUAAGUUAUUAUUAUUAUAUUUUAUAUAUAUAUAUAUAUAUACACAUACUGAAGUCUUAGUCUAUAAUAAUUUAGUUAGAUAAUCAGUUUCUUUCAAUCAAAUAACUGUCUUUUGGAAAUUUGUUAAGGGAUUUCUCCUCCGUUGUAAAUUAAAUUACUUCUCAGCUAUUUUUAUAAAUAUACUUUGCAUCAUUUUCAGCAGGA